ACUUCAUCUUUCAAGUGGACACAGUAAUCGUGCCUUUCAUUUUUAUUGCUUUGCCUGCAAACUUAAUCAUAUUUGUUAACUUCUAUGUGCCUCAGUCUCAACAUCUGUGAGUUGGGGAUAAUAAUCACCACGUUGUUGAAAGAAUUGAUGAGAAAAAGCAGGGGUGUUUGUGGAAACAAAAACUGCAUUAGAGGAGAUAAUUCUCAGCUCAAGCCAGCCUUGGACUGGAGGGAUCUCUUCAGCUCUGCACUCAAGGGAGAUAAAAGAGCAUAAUUGUAAAUGCACAGCAGUUCAUCUCAAGAUCUAUUCAACUGUAUGAAAACCAUAUAACCUCAGAUAUAUUCCCCAAUCUUCUACACCCUUAUCUGUGCCCUUUUAUGGACCACAUCAAUGGGCUGCCUUGCCCUUUGGCUUCUGGUAGGAUUUAGCCAAUAAAAGGUAUGAAGAGGAAAUUAGAGGAGAAAAGAAAUAAAGGAAGGCCACGUGAGAACAUAGUGAGAGGGAGCUGUCUAUAAGCCAGGACACCUUCACUAGACACCGAAUUUGCUGACACCUUGAUCUUGGACUUUCCAGCCUCCAGGAUGGAGUAUUUGGGGAGUGGGGAGUGAGAAAAAUCAACUGAGUCUCCACCUGACACAAUUUAUUGGUAAUGCCCUUGAAUAGUACUCCAGUAAAUAAGACAGGCAUUUGGAGAACCAGAGGGAAAUCUUGACAGUCAAGAAGGUCAUUAGGAGUCGGCAGUACAAUUUUAUAGUUCAGUGAUGUAAACCAUUACUCUUUUCAAGCAUUCGAAAGAUCAUGCCAGCCUCCAUUGGACUGCCAUUGAAAAGGAUCUUCUGUUACAUUUCUUUAAAUUGGACACCAAGAGCAGAGGUUACGUGAUUAUAUCCUUUAAGUGCAGAAUUUAAAGCAAUGAAUCACUGUGAUUACUUUAUCAUGGAUGAAGCCAAGAAAAGUACUGGGCUAAGCACUGUGAUGGAUACAAUGAAUAGGGAGCGCACAUUUAAUUUGGAAGAUUGCAGAUGAAAAGAUAAAUAACAAGUAACAAGACUUGAAAUGGGUUGCUGCUCUACCACGAGCAGUGUGACACUGGCCAAACACUGAACAUUGAUGAACCCGAACUUACCAGGUUAAGUGACUUAACUAGCGACACACACACACAAGACUUGUUAAGAUACACUGGUGCCAUAUAAAGUGGGGUGUAAUCUGGAGAUACAUCUUUGUUUUUGUUUGUUUUUAGUACUGAUAUUUAAGAAAAAGAUGGAAAGAGAGGAAGAAAGACUGAAGAAAAGAAAACGAAGCUUGAGGCAGACAUAGACAUGUUUGUAAGAGGACAGAGAGUUAAUAAAGAAAGGUCAUGUUGGUGGCUCAUACUCUUCUCUCUUAGAAAUAAAAGUCAAGAUUAUCUCUAAGUGUGCAGGAGAACAAAGUAAAGUGCAUGACAGAUGGAAAGAUCAGGAUAGUUGUUGAAAUAAAUCAGAGAGCAGCUGUUAAAGUGUAAUUGCCUCCGAUUUUAAACUCUAACAGGUGUAAGAAAGUAGAAGGCAAUUUUUAAUGGUUUUUGAUUUGCAGAGAGAUUUUUAAGGGAUGACGUACAAAGCCAGGGAAGCAAAGGACCUGAGGCUAUUAGCUAAAGGACACCUGAAGUGAAAAGAAUGUUGAGAAAAGGAAGGAAUACCUUAAAGUAAGUCCAGGAAUAGAAGAUGAAGUUGGAUGUCAAGGGACUGAAGGCCCAACAAGAUCAAAGAACAAGAGUGUAGGGAAUGCUGGUAAGGUUUUCUGAAAAGAAAUGAUGCUUCUAAUCCAUUUCAGGUGAGGGCAAUGUUCAGGAUUGGGCUGUGGAGGUAAGUCCCUGGACAAAUAUGAGGAGAGACGUCGACAUAGAGGAAUAAGAAGCCACGAGAGUUGAAAUAUUUGGGGUGAUUGAUAUAGUGACAUCACAUAGGAAAAUAGAAGGUGAAAGGAUGGAUGACUCUAACAUAGGAAUGGUUGUCCUCAAUAAAUGCCUGAAAUGUGAAUGAAAAUUUCCAUGUUUAUACUUAUGUAAAUGUAUGUAACUUUACAUAAAUGUAAAUGAAAAGUAAAUGAUAGAAAGGAUACAGACUGCAUAGCAAAUGGUUCUACUCUCAUGUUGAAAAGUUUCUGUGUGAGUUUGAAAGUCUUGGAGAAUGACAAGACUCCCAGUGUUGAAAAAAAGUGAGAAGCCCCGGGGAAUGAGGCUUACCACUGAGCUGACCUACAAAGGAAAUAAUAUUCCCAGGAAAUAACCAGAUUUCUGAUUAUUCCCGGAAACAAUCAUGCUUCUAUGAUAAAAUACAGAUAAUAUAAACUUCUAUACAGUAAUAUACUCAAAGGUACAAUUUAUAAUUCUGAAAAUGUUGUUUCUGGUCAUAGACAAUAAAAAAUUACAGAACCUGGUAUACAACUUGUUAGCUCAGGAGUUCAAAUAAGUAUUGAAUUAUGCUGAAUCAUCCUGCCUAAACAUUAAUUACAUUAACUUAAUGACAUUAACAUUUGCCUCUUUUUAUUCCCCCCUUUGUCUAAUUGAGACAUUUGUUACAUGAACUAAAUUAAUUCUUGAUAUAAUAGGUUUCUUUGCAUCAUGGUCUUUGUCAAACAAUUUUGCCUUCUAUUGUCCAUCAAGUUUUUACAUCUGGAUUUGAAAUGUACAUUAGUAUGAUAAAAUGGUUUCCCUGUCAUUUUCCCAUGAGCUGUUUCUCAUUUAGUUAAAUACCUCUUCAGGGGGCCGAGACUCCAUUGAUUUCAAAGUGAGAUCAGCAUGCUGAUGAGAUUUUUAGACCAUAUUGAAUAACGAGAAAAUGGACUCUUCAUUGGUCUUCCCCCAAGAGGAAUUCAGCAGAGCUACAGAAAGAAAACACCAAUGAAAAAAUAUAGAGACCAAGGGACAGCAGGUAGAAGAAUUAGUCAUGGUUGCUCUAAAGUAUAAAAUUUUACUUCCAAUAUACUGCCAAAAAUACUGAAUGAUUUAAUAGAACAUGUUAGUCUAGCUUUUACAAAGAAUGGAUUUCUGAGAUUUUCUUUCUUUCAUGGCCCUGUGUUUUCUUGACCUUUUUUACCUGGUUCCAGUUUCCUUAGAUACUUGCUGGGGAUAGCA